GGGCCCAUGGUGUAGUUGGUUAUCACAUCCGCUUAGCAGCUUCAGUCGAGUGAAUCUUCGUGCGGGGGGUGCUGGGUUCAAUUCCCAGUGUGUCCA